rnacentral:rRNA from 1 species
AGAACGAACGCUGGCGGCGUGGAUAAGACAUGCAAGUCGAACGAGCUUAGUUCCGGAGCAAUUCGGGAUUGAGCGAGUGGCGAACGGGUGCGUAACACGUGAGUCAUCUGCCUAAAAGUGGGGGAUAGCUCGCCGAAAGGCGAAUUAAUACCGCAUGUGUCCCGAAGCAAUUCGGGGUAAAGCCGGGGCAACCUGGCGCUCUUAGAGGAACUCGCGGCCUAUCAGCUUGUUGGUGAGGUAACGGCUUACCAAGGCUUCGACGGGUAGCUGGUCUGAGAGGACGACCAGCCACACUGGAACUGAGACACGGUCCAGACACCUACGGGUGGCAGCAGUCGAGAAUUUUUCUCAAUGGGGGAAACCCUGAAGGAGCGACGCCGCGUGGAGGAUGAAGGCUUUCGGGUUGUAAACUCCUGUCAUUUGGGAACAAGGCCUUACGUUAACUGCGUGGAGGUUUGAUAGUACCGAAAGAGGAAGAGACGGCUAACUCUGCGCCAGCAGCCGC